GACGAACGCUGGCGGCGUGCUUAACACAUGCAAGUCGAACGGUAAGGCCCUUCGGGGUACACGAGUGGCGAACGGGUGAGUAACACGUGGGUGAUCUGCCCUGCACUUCGGGAUAAGCCUGGGAAACUGGGUCUAAUACCGGAUAGGACCACUGCCUGCAUGGGUGGUGGUGGAAAGCUUUUGCGGUGUGGGAUGGGCCCGCGGCCUAUCAGCUUGUUGGUGGGGUGAUGGCCUACCAAGGCGACGACGGGUAGCCGGCCUGAGAGGGUGACCAGCCACACUGGGACUGAGAUACGGCCCAGACUCCUACGGGAGGCAGCAGUGGGGAAUAUUGCACAAUGGGCGCAAGCCUGAUGCAGCGACGCCGCGUGAGGGAUGGCGGCCUUCGGGUUGUAAACCUCUUUCAGCACCGACGAAGCGCAAGUGACGGUAGGUGCAGAAGAAGGACCGGCCAACUACGUGCCAGCCGCCGCAGUAA
rnacentral:rRNA from 1 species